rnacentral:rRNA from 1 species
AUUGAACGCUGGCGGCAGGCCUAACACAUGCAAGUCGAGCGAGCGGCGGACGGGGGAGUAAUGUCUGGGAAACUGCCUGAUGGAGGGGGAUAACUACUGGAUACGGUAGCUAAUCACGCAUACCAUCAGAUGUGUCCAGGUGGGAUUAGCGAGUGGGUGGGGUAACGGCUGACCUAGGCGACGCUCCCUAGCUGGUCUGUGAGGAUGACCAGCCAGACUGGAACUGAGACACGGUCCAGACUCCUUCGGGAGGCAGCAGUGGGGAAUAUUGCACGAUGGGCGAAAGCCUGAUGCAGCCAUGCCGCGUGUGUGAAGAAGGCCUUCGGGUUGUAAAGCACUUUCAGCGGGGAGGCGUUACCCGCAGAAGAAGCACCGGCUAACUCCGUGCCAGCAGCCGCGGUAAUAC